GAAGAGCCAGCAGCUCCUCGAGAUCUGGGCCUAGGCCUUGGUUUAGGCCUGAAGGAGAAGGAAGAAGCAGUAGUGGCUGCAGCGGCUGGGCUGGAGGAAGCUAGUGCAGCAGUGGCUGUGGGGGCAGGAGGAGCCCCAGCCGGGCCUGCAGUCAUUGGUCCCAGCCUCCCGCUGGCCCUAGCCAUGCCCUUGCCUGAGCCCGAGCCCUUGCCCCUCCCGCUGGAGGUGGUCCGUGGCCUGCUGCCUCCACUUCGAAUUCCUGAGCUCCUGUCUCUGCGCCCACGACCUCGGCCCCCUCGGCCUGAGCCACCUCCUGGCCUCAUGGCCCUAGAGGUAAGCAGGGAAUGUGCAGAGAGGGGACAGAAAGGGCCAGGAGAAAGCAGGAGCCCAUGAGCUUCCACACACAGAACACAGUCCUCUGACCAGAGGGUGGGUGGGAGGGGAGAGGCAGCCCCUUACACUCCACAUCUGGAAGCGGGUCUAGUACUUGAAUCUGAGGUGGCAUGGCUGGAGGCACUGCAGAGCAGAAGACUUCCAACAGCCUUCCCUUCCCCCUGUAGGUUCCAGAGCCACUGGGUGAAGACAAGAAGAAAGGCAAGCCAGAGAAAUUGAAACGCUGCAUUCGUACAGCAGCAGGGAGCAGCUGGGAGGACCCCAGCCUGCUGGAGUGGGAUGCCGGUGAGUGGCCAGAACGAGGGUUUGUAUACUGCCCAUCCAAGAACAGGCUGCACUGAGUUUUCAGGACCACCAACCGAAAAGGAAGCAGGGUGACUCCGUACUGCCUGGAGGGCAGGACUCUCCUCAUGGUGGGAAGAGGUGGGCAUAAUUGGGCUCCAGGGCUUGGUUG
rnacentral:lncRNA from 1 species